rnacentral:rRNA from 1 species
UACAGAGGUCUCAAGCGUUGUUCGGAUUCAUUGGGCGUAAAGGGUGCGUAGGCGGCGCGGUAAGUCGGGUGUGAAAUCUCGGAGCUUAACUCCGAAACUGCAUUCGAUACUGCCGUGCUUGAGGACUGGAGAGGAGACUGGAAUUUACGGUGUAGCGGUGAAAUGCGUAGAUAUCGUAAGGAAGACCAGUGGCGAAGGCGGGUCUCUGGACAGUUCCUGACGCUGAGGCACGAAGGUCAGGGGGAGCGAAACGGGG